rnacentral:rRNA from 1 species
AGAAUCAACGCUGGCGGCGUGCCUAACACAUGCAAGUCGAACGAGAAAGUGGAGCAAUCCAUGAGUAAAGUGGCGCACGGGUGAGUAACACGUGACUAACCUACCCUUGAGUGGGGGAUAACCUAGGGAAACCUGGGCUAAUACCGCAUAAUACCUUCGGGUCAAAGGAGCAAUUCGCUUAAGGAGGGGGUCGCGGCCGAUUAGUUAGUUGGCGGGGUAAUGGCCCACCAAGACUGUGAUCGGUAUCCGGCCUGAGAGGGCGCACGGACACACUGGAACUGAAACACGGUCCAGACUCCUACGGGAGGCAGCAGUGGGGAAUUUGCGCAAUGGGGGAAACCCUGACGCAGCAACGCCGCGUGGAGGAUGAAGCCCCUUGGGGCGUAAACUCCUUUCGAUCGGGACGAUAAUGACGGUACCGGAAGAAGAAGCCCCGGCUAACUCGUGCCAGCAGCCGC